UACGAAGGGUGCUAGCGUUGUUCGGAAUCACUGGGCGUAAAGCGCGCGUAGGCGGCCCGGUAAGUCCGCUGUGAAAGUCAAAGGCUCAACCUUUGAAUGUCAGCGGAUACUGCCGGGCUAGAGUCCGGAAGAGGCGAGUGGAACUCCUGGUGUAGCGGUGGAAUGCGCAGAUAUCAGGAAGAACACCAACGGCGAAGGCAGCUCGCUGGGACGGAACUGACGCUAAGGCGCGAAAGCGUGGGGAGCGAACAGG
rnacentral:rRNA from 1 species